rnacentral:tRNA from 5 species
GGAGAGUUGUCCGAGUGGUCGAAGGUGCAGCACUCGAAAUGCUGUGUCCCGAAAGGGACCUAGGGUUCGAAUCCCUAACUCUCCGCCA